UACGAAGGGGCUAGCGUUGUUCGGAUUUACUGGGCGUAAAGCGCACGUAGGCGGAUCGUUAAGUCGGGGGUGAAAUCCUGGAGCUCAACUCCAGAACUGCCUUCGAUACUGGCGAUCUUGAGUCCGGAAGAGGUGAGUGGAACUCCUAGUGUAGAGGUGGAAUUCGUAGAUAUUAGGAAGAACACCAGUGGCGAAGGCGGCUCACUGGCCCGGUACUGACGCUGAGGCGCGAAAGCGUGGGGAGCAAACAGG
rnacentral:rRNA from 1 species